AGUCGUACGCUUCUUUUUCCCCGGAGCUUGCUCCACCGGAAAAAGAAGAGUGGCGAACGGGUGAGUAACACGUGGGUAACCUGCCCAUCAGAAGGGGAUAACACUUGGAAACAGGUGCUAAUACCGUAUAACAAUCGAAACCGCAUGGUUUUGAUUUGAAAGGCGCUUUCGGGUGUCGCUGAUGGAUGGACCCGCGGUGCAUUAGCUAGUUGGUGAGGUAACGGCUCACCAAGGCUACGAUGCAUAGCCGACCUGAGAGGGUGAUCGGCCACAUUGGGACUGAGACACGGCCCAAACUCCUACGGGAGGCAGCAGUAGGGAAUCUUCGGCAAUGGACGAAAGUCUGACCGAGCAACGCCGCGUGAGUGAAGAAGGUUUUCGGAUCGUAAAACUCUGUUGUUAGAGAAGAACAAGGAUGAGAGUAACUGUUCAUCCCUUGACGGUAUCUAACCAGAAAGCCACGGCUAACUACGUGCCAGCAGCCGCGGUAAUACGUAGGUGGCAAGCGUUGUCCGGAUUUAUUGGGCGUAAAGCGAGCGCAGGCGGUUUCUUAAGUCUGAUGUGAAAGCCCCCGGCUCAACCGGGGAGGGUCAUUGGAAACUGGGAGACUUGAGUGCAGAAGAGGAGAGUGGAAUUCCAUGUGUAGCGGUGAAAUGCGUAGAUAUAUGGAGGAACACCAGUGGCGAAGGCGGCUCUCUGGUCUGUAACUGACGCUGAGGCUCGAAAGCGUGGGGAGCAAACAGGAUUAGAUACCCUGGUAGUCCACGCCGUAAACGAUGAGUGCUAAGUGUUGGAGGGUUUCCGCCCUUCAGUGCUGCAGCUAACGCAUUAAGCACUCCGCCUGGGGAGUACGACCGCAAGGUUGAAACUCAAAGGAAUUGACGGGGGCCCGCACAAGCGGUGGAGCAUGUGGUUUAAUUCGAAGCAACGCGAAGAACCUUACCAGGUCUUGACAUCCUUUGACCACUCUAGAGAUAGAGCUUCCCCUUCGGGGGCAAAGUGACAGGUGGUGCAUGGUUGUCGUCAGCUCGUGUCGUGAGAUGUUGGGUUAAGUCCCGCAACGAGCGCAACCCUUAUUGUUAGUUGCCAUCAUUCAGUUGGGCACUCUAGCAAGACUGCCGGUGACAAACCGGAGGAAGGUGGGGAUGACGUCAAAUCAUCAUGCCCCUUAUGACCUGGGCUACACACGUGCUACAAUGGGAAGUACAACGAGUCGCGAAGUCGCGAGGCUAAGCUAAUCUCUUAAAGCUUCUCUCAGUUCGGAUUGUAGGCUGCAACUCGCCUACAUGAAGCCGGAAUCGCUAGUAAUCGCGGAUCAGCACGCCGCGGUGAAUACGUUCCCGGGCCUUGUACACACCGCCCGUCACACCACGAGAGUUUUAACACCCGAAGUCGGUGAGGUAACCUUUGGAGCC
rnacentral:rRNA from 1 species